rnacentral:rRNA from 1 species
GAACGGCGGCGCAGGUAUCUAUACCGGGUGGCGAGUGGCGGACGGGUGAGGAAUACAUCGGGACCUGCCCAGACGUGGGGGAUAACGUAGGGAAACUUACGCUAAUACCGCAUACGUCCUACGGGAGAAAGCGGGGGAUCGCAAGACCUCGCGCGGUUGGAUGGACCGAUGUUCGAUUAGCUAGUUGGUAGGGUAACGGCCUACCAAGGCGACGACGGGUAGCCGGCCUGAGAGGGCGACCGGCCACACUGGGACUGAGACACGGCCCAUACUCCUACGGGAGGCAGCAGUGGGGAAUAUUGCGCAAUGGGCGGAAGCCUGACGCAGCGACGCCGCGUGGGGGAUGACGGCCUUCGGGUUGUAAACCCCUUUCAGCAGGGACGAAGCGUGAGUGACGGUACCUGCAGAAGAAGCGCCGGCUAACUACGUGCCAGCAGCCGCGGUAAU